AUUGGAGUAGCAAUACUUCAUGAGAGCGGCGAACGGGUGAGUAACGCGUACACGACCUACCUUUGACUGGGGGAUAGCCCUGGGAAACUGGGAUUAAUACCGCAUAUAAUUCUGAUAAGUAAAGAGAUUGGAAUGAAAGUUCAGGCGGUCAAAGAUGGGUGUGCGUCUGAUUAGCUAGUUGGUAGGGUAACGGCCUACCAAGGCGAUGAUCAGUAGGGGGCGUGAGAGCGUGGUCCCCCACACGGGUACUGAGACACGGACCCGACUCCUACGGGAGGCAGCAGUAAGGAAUAUUGGACAAUGGCCGCAAGGCUGAUCCAGCCAUCCAGCGUGCAGGAAGAAGGCCCUAUGGGUUGUAAACUGCUUUUAUCAGGGAAGAAACCUCUCGAUUCAUCGGGAGCUGACGGUACCUGAAGAAUAAGCACCGGCUAACUCCGUGCCAGCAGCCGCGGUAAUACGGAGGGUGCGAGCGUUAUCCGGAAUUACUGGGUUUAAAGGGUGCGUAGGCGGCUAAGUAAGUCAGGAGUGAAAGUUUGCGGCUCAACCGUAAAAUUGCUUUUGAUACUGCUUAGCUGGAAUUAGGAUGAGGUCAGCGGAAUGUGGCAUGUAGCGGUGAAAUGCAUAGAUAUGCCAUAGAACACCAAUUGCGAAGGCAGCUGGCUAGACCUAUAUUGACGCUGAGGCACGAAAGCGUGGGGAGCGAACAGGAUUAGAUACCCUGGUAGUCCACGCCCUAAACGAUGCUCACUCGACGUAUAGCACUCGAUGCUGUGCGUCCAAGGGAAACCGUUAAGUGAG
rnacentral:rRNA from 1 species